rnacentral:rRNA from 1 species
CUACGGGAGGCAGCAGUGGGGAAUAUUGCACAAUGGGCGCAAGCCUGAUGCAGCCAUGCCGCGUGUAUGAAGAAGGCCUUCGGGUUGUAAAGUACUUUCAGCGGGGAGGAAGGGAGUAAAGUUAAUACCUUUGCUCAUUGACGUUACCCGCAGAAGAAGCACCGGCUAACUCCGUGCCAGCAGCCGCGGUAAUACGGAGGGUGCAAGCGUUAAUCGGAAUUACUGGGCGUAAAGCGCACGCAGGCGGUUUGUUAAGUCAGAUGUGAAAUCCCCGGGCUCAACCUGGGAACUGCAUCUGAUACUGGCAAGCUUGAGUCUAGUAGAGGGGGGUAGAAUUCCAGGUUUAGCGGUGAAAUGCGUAGAGAUCUGGAGGAAUACCGGUGGCGAAGGCGGCCCCCUGGACGAAGACUGACGCUCAGGUGCGAAAGCGUGGGGAGCAAACAGGAUUAGAUACCCUAGUAGUC